UACGGGGGGCGCAAGCGUUGCUCGGAUUUACUGGGCGUAAAGGGCGCGUGGGCGGCCACCGCAAGUCGACUGUGAAAUCUCCGGGCUUAACCCGGAAAGGUCAGCCGAUACUGCGGGGCUAGAGUGCAGAAGGGGCAACUGGAAUUCUCGGUGUAGCGGUGAAAUGCGUAGAUAUCGAGAGGAACACCUGCGGCGAAGGCGGGUUGCUGGGCUGACACUGACGCUGAGGCGCGAAAGCUAGGGGAGCGAACGGG
rnacentral:rRNA from 1 species